CAGGAUGAACGCUGGCGGCGUGCUUAACACAUGCAAGUCGAACGAAGCACCUCUAAUCGAAGAUUGAGAAAGCUCGCUUUGAUUGAUUCACCUGAGGUGACUGAGUGGCGGACGGGUGAGUAACGCGUGGGUAACCUACCCUAUACAGGGGGAUAACAGUUGGAAACGACUGCUAAUACCGCAUAAGCGCACAGGACCGCAUGGUCUAGUGUGAAAAACUCCGGUGGUAUAGGAUGGACCCGCGUCUGAUUAGCUAGUUGGUGAGGUAACGGCUCACCAAGGCGACGAUCAGUAGCCGACCUGAGAGGGUGACCGGCCACAUUGGGACUGAGACACGGCCCAAACUCCUACGGGAGGCGGCAGUGGGGAAUAUUGCACAAUGGGCGAAAGCCUGAAUGCAGCGACGCCGCGUGAACGAAGAAGUAUUUCGGUAUGUAAAGUUCUAUCAGCAGGGAAGAAAAAUGACCGGUACCUGACUAAGAAGCUCCGGCUAAAUACGUGCCAGCCGCCGC
rnacentral:rRNA from 1 species